GAUGAACGCUGGCGGCGUGCCUAAUACAUGCAAGUAGAACGCUGAAGGAGGAGCUUGCUCUUCUGGAUGAGUUGCGAACGGGUGAGUAACGCGCAGGUAACCUGCCUGGUAGCGGGGGAUAACUAUUGGAAACGAUAGCUAAUACCGCAUGACAACAGUUAUUGCAUGAUAACUGUUUAAAAGGGGCAACUGCUCCACUACCAGAUGGACCUGCGUUGUAUUAGCUAGUUGGUGAGGUAACGGCUCACCAAGGCGACGAUACAUAGCCGACCUGAGAGGGUGAUCGGCCACACUGGGACUGAGACACGGCCCAGACUCCUACGGGAGGCAGCAGCAGGGAAUCUUCGGCAAUGGACGGAAGUCUGACCGAGCAACGCCGCGUGAGUGAAGAAGGUUUUCGGAUCGUAAAGCUCUGUUGUAAGAGAAGAACGAGUGUGAGAGUGGAAAGUUCACACUGUGACGGUAUCUUACCAGAAAGGGACGGCUAACUACGUG
rnacentral:rRNA from 1 species